AUGCAGGUGGGCCUGGGGCGGGAGGGGCGCACCCAGUGUGGUCAGGGACCCUGGUGGCUGACAGGAGGGUUUCUGUAUGAGGAUGUAUCACUGUGUUAUGUGUUCGGCGCAGGGACCAAGGUGACCGUCUUAGGUCAGCCCAAGUCCGCACCCACCGUCACUCUGUUCCCGCCCUCCUCUGAGGAGCUCAGCACCAACAAGGCCACCUUGGUGUGUCUGGUCAAUGACUUCUACCCCGGCGCGGUGACCGUGGCCUGGAAGGCGGACGGAAAGCCCAUCAGCCAGGGCGUGGAGACCACCCAGGCCACCAAGCAGAGCAACAGCAAGUAUGCGGCCAGCAGCUACCUGAGCCUGACCGCCAGCCAGUGGAAAAGCCACCAGAGUGUCACCUGCCAGGUCACGCACGAGGGCAGCACCGUGGAGAAGACAGUGGACACCAAAGCCUGCUCUUAGGCCCCUCAGCCUCCCCCAUCCUUGGGGGAUCCUCCUCACCCACAUACCCUUGCCCCAGUUCUCUGCUGGAACCCUGAGCCCCCCACCUUGUGCUCA